AGAGUUUGAUCAUGGCUCAGAUUGAACGCUGGCGGCAGGCUUAACACAUGCAAGUCGAGCGGUAGCACAAGAGAGCUUGCUCUCUGGGUGACGAGCGGCGGACGGGUGAGUAAUGUCUGGGAAACUGCCUGAUGGAGGGGGAUAACUACUGGAAACGGUAGCUAAUACCGCAUAACGUCGCAAGACCAAAGAGGGGGACCUUCGGGCCUCUUGCCAUCAGAUGUGCCCAGAUGGGAUUAGCUAGUAGGUGGGGUAAUGGCUCACCUAGGCGACGAUCCCUAGCUGGUCUGAGAGGAUGACCAGCCACACUGGAACUGAGACACGGUCCAGACUCCUACGGGAGGCAGCAGUGGGGAAUAUUGCACAAUGGGCGCAAGCCUGAUGCAGCCAUGCCGCGUGUGUGAAGAAGGCCUUCGGGUUGUAAAGCACUUUCAGCGAGGAGGAAGGUGGUGAGCUUAAUACGUUCAUCAAUUGACGUUACUCGCAGAAGAAGCACCGGCUAACUCCGUGCCAGCAGCCGCGGUAGUACGGAGGGUGCAAGCGUUAAUCGGAAUUACUGGGCGUAAAGCGCACGCAGGCGGUUUGUUAAGUCAGAUGUGAAAUCCCCGGGCUCAACCUGGGAACUGCAUUUGAAACUGGCAAGCUAGAGUCUCGUAGAGGGGGGUAGAAUUCCAGGUGUAGCGGUGAAAUGCGUAGAGAUCUGGAGGAAUACCGGUGGCGAAGGCGGCCCCCUGGACGAAGACUGACGCUCAGGUGCGAAAGCGUGGGGAGCAAACAGGAUUAGAUACCCUGGUAGUCCACGCUGUAAACGAUGUCGAUUUGGAGGUUGUGCCCUUGAGGCGUGGCUUCCGGAGCUAACGCGUUAAGUCGACCGCCUGGGGAGUACGGCCGCAAGGUUAAAACUCAAAUGAAUUGACGGGGGCCCGCACAAGCGGUGGAGCAUGUGGUUUAAUUCGAUGCAACGCGGAGAACCUUACCUACUCUUGACAUCCAGAGAACUUUCCAGAGAUGGAUUGGUGCCUUCGGGAACUCUGAGACAGGUGCUGCAUGGCUGUCGUCAGCUCGUGUUGUGAAAUGUUGGGUUAAGUCCCGCAACGAGCGCAACCCUUAUCCUUUGUUGCCAGCGGUUCGGCCGGGAACUCAAAGGAGACUGCCAGUGAUAAACUGGAGGAAGGUGGGGAUGACGUCAAGUCAUCAUGGCCCUUACGAGUAGGGCUACACACGUGCUACAAUGGCAUAUACAAAGAGAAGCGACCUCGCGAGAGCAAGCGGACCUCAUAAAGUAUGUCGUAGUCCGGAUUGGAGUCUGCAACUCGACUCCAUGAAGUCGGAAUCGCUAGUAAUCGUAGAUCAGAAUGCUACGGUGAAUACGUUCCCGGGCCUUGUACA
rnacentral:rRNA from 1 species